rnacentral:rRNA from 1 species
UCAGUUCGGAUCGCAGGCUGCAACUCGCCUGCGUGAAGUUGGAAUUGCUAGUAAUCGCGGAUCAGCAUGCCGCGGUGAAUACGUUCCCGGGCCUUGUACACACCGCCCGUCACACCAUGGGAGUUGGGAGCGCCCGAAGCCGGUGAGGUAACCGAGAGGAGCCAGCCGUCGAAGGUGAGACCAAUGACUGGGGUGAAGUCGUAACAAGGUAGC